GGCUGUUUAUGGCAGUGCUGCACAUGUGCCAACCAUUUCAGUGGUCAUUUGUCACUUGUGUUCUAUUAGUGCUACUUCCAAUGCUUUUCUAAUCUACUGAAAUUGAACACUUACUAGCCUUUCAAAGAUCCACCUUAAAUCCUUAACUCUUUACUGUUUGCAGACCCUCUUUAACUGUCCAAUAUUCAAAUUUCGGACAUAGAGCUUGUACCAUAA
rnacentral:lncRNA from 1 species